GAUGAACGCUGGCGGCGUGCCUAAUACAUGCAAGUCGAGCGAACAGACGAGGAGCUUGCUCCUCUGACGUUAGCGGCGGACGGGUGAGUAACACGUGGAUAACCUACCUAUAAGACUGGGAUAACUUCGGGAAACCGGAGCUAAUACCGGAUAAUAUAUUGAACCGCAUGGUUCAAUAGUGAAAGACGGUUUUGCUGUCACUUAUAGAUGGAUCCGCGCCGCAUUAGCUAGUUGGUAAGGUAACGGCUUACCAAGGCAACGAUGCGUAGCCGACCUGAGAGGGUGAUCGGCCACACUGGAACUGAGACACGGCCCAGACUCCUACGGGAGGCAGCAGUAGGGAAUCUUCCGCAAUGGGCGAAAGCCUGACGGAGCAACGCCGCGUGAGUGAUGAAGGUCUUCGGAUCGUAAAGCUCUGUUAUUAGGGAAGAACAAAUGUGUAAGUAACUAUGCACGUCUUGACGGUACCUAAUCAGAAAGCCACGGCUAACUACGUG
rnacentral:rRNA from 1 species